CACUCCGGUGGCUUAGAGGUUAGAGCGUCCGCCUCGAAUGUAGGAGGUCGCGGAUUCGAACCCCGGUUGAGUCA